CAAUUUAAAGCUUAUUUAGAAAAGCGUUUUAUUUACAUUAAAAAGAUUUCUGUGCAAUUCAGUAUAAAUUGA
rnacentral:tRNA from 1 species